rnacentral:lncRNA from 1 species
GACUCAUCAGUAACGGUCAAGCUACACGCCCGACACUGAUAUGGAUUAGAAGAAAAUUAAAAAAACGAGGCCGGCCACAAGCCCGCCCCGAAUCCACAAAUAAAUAAAAAAUUGCUGGCUUCUCAAGGACACGGUGCCGCCGCCGGUGCUCCAGGCCCCCCGCGCUAAUGCUCCUCCACAUGCCGGUGGAAGAAGGUCACCGGAUCCGGUGCCGACGAGGAGAGAGCGAGCCGCUACGAGAGAUCGAGAGACAGUGAGAAAUAAGGGGAAUAGAGAACUGAGAGAGAGGGAGGGGGCAUACCUG